AAAUUGCAAAAAAAUUAAUAUAAAAAUCAAAAGUUGAAUUAAAAGACUUCUUCAUCAACUCUUUUCGAAAUCUCAAGAAAUUCGUGCAUAUGUUCUUCGUCCAACUUAAACGAUCAAGAACAAUACUCUAACAAAUCAAAAAAACAAAUACAAAAUUAAGGAAAAAGAAUUAUAGUAAAAAACUAAACAUGAUAUUAAAAAAAAG
rnacentral:lncRNA from 1 species